CCGGCGAUGUCCGAAUGGGGAAACCCAGUGCAAUCCGUUGCACUAUCGUUAACUGAAUACAUAGGUUAACGAGGCGAACCGGGGGAACUGAAACAUCUAAGUACCCCGAGGAAAAGAAAUCAACCGAGAUUCCCCCAGUAGCGGCGAGCGAACGGGGAGCAGCCCGGAGUCUGAAUCAGCUUGUGUGUUAGUGGAACGGUCUGGAAAGUCCGACGGUACAGGGUGAUAGUCCCGUACACGAAAAUGCACAUGCUGUGAACUCGAAGAGUAGGGCGGGACACGUGGUAUCCUGUCUGAAUAUGGGGGGACCAUCCUCCAAGGCUAAAUACUCCUGACUGACCGAUAGUGAACCAGUACCGUGAGGGAAAGGCGAAAAGAACCCCGGCGAGGGGAGUGAAAAAGAACCUGAAACCGUGUACGUACAAGCAGUGGGAGCCUCUUUAUGGGGUGACUGCGUACCUUUUGUAUAAUGGGUCAGCGACUUAUAUUCUGUAGCAAGGUUAACCGUAUAGGGGAGCCGAAGGGAAACCGAGUCUUAACUGGGCGUUAAGUUGCAGGGUAUAGACCCGAAACCCGGUGAUCUAGCCAUGGGCAGGUUGAAGGUUGGGUAACACUAACUGGAGGACCGAACCGACUAAUGUUGAAAAAUUAGCGGAUGACCUGUGGCUGGGGGUGAAAGGCCAAUCAAACCGGGAGAUAGCUGGUUCUCCCCGAAAGCUAUUUAGGUAGCGCCUCGUGAACUCAUCUUCGGGGGUAGAGCACUGUUUCGGCUAGGGGGCCAUCCCGGCUUACCAACCCGAUGCAAACUACGAAUACCGAAGAAUGUUAUCACGGGAGACACACGGCGGGUGCUAACGUCCGUCGUGAAGAGGGAAACAACCCAGACCGCCAGCUAAGGUCCCAAAGUCAUGGUUAAGUGGGAAACGAUGUGGGAAGGCACAGACAGCCAGGAUGUUGGCUUAGAAGCAGCCAUCAUUUAAAGAAAGCGUAAUAGCUCACUGGUCGAGUCGGCCUGCGCGGAAGAUGUAACGGGGCUAAACCAUGCACCGAAGCUGCGGCAGCGACACUUAUGUGUUGUUGGGUAGGGGAGCGUUCUGUAAGCCGUUGAAGGUGUGCUGUGAGGCAUGCUGGAGGUAUCAGAAGUGCGAAUGCUGACAUAAGUAACGAUAAAGCGGGUGAAAAGCCCGCUCGCCGGAAGACCAAGGGUUCCUGUCCAACGUUAAUCGGGGCAGGGUGAGUCGACCCCUAAGGCGAGGCCGAAAGGCGUAGUCGAUGGGAAACAGGUUAAUAUUCCUGUACUUGGUGUUACUGCGAAGGGGGGACGGAGAAGGCUAUGUCAGCCGGGCGACGGUUGUCCCGGUUUAAGCAUGUAGGCGGAGGUUCCAGGUAAAUCCGGUACCUUGUUAACGCUGAGGUGUGAUGACGAGGCACUACGGUGCUGAAGUGAUAAAUGCCCUGCUUCCAGGAAAAGCCUCUAAGCAUCAGGUAACACGAAAUCGUACCCCAAACCGACACAGGUGGUCAGGUAGAGAAUACCAAGGCGCUUGAGAGAACUCGGGUGAAGGAACUAGGCAAAAUGGUGCCGUAACUUCGGGAGAAGGCACGCUGAUGUGUAGGUGAAGCCCCUGCGGGUGGAGCUGAAAUCAGUCGAAGAUACCAGCUGGCUGCAACUGUUUAUUAAAAACACAGCACUGUGCAAACACGAAAGUGGACGUAUACGGUGUGACGCCUGCCCGGUGCCGGAAGGUUAAUUGAUGGGGUUAGCGGCAACGCGAAGCUCUUGAUCGAAGCCCCGGUAAACGGCGGCCGUAACUAUAACGGUCCUAAGGUAGCGAAAUUCCUUGUCGGGUAAGUUCCGACCUGCACGAAUGGCGUAAUGAUGGCCAGGCUGUCUCCACCCGAGACUCAGUGAAAUUGAACUCGCUGUGAAGAUGCAGUGUACCCGCGGCAAGACGGAAAGACCCCGUGAACCUUUACUAUAGCUUGACACUGAACACUGGUCCUUGAUGUGUAGGAUAGGUGGGAGGCUUUGAAGCGUGGACGCCAGUCUGCGUGGAGCCAACCUUGAAAUACCACCCUUUAAUGGCUGGUGUUCUAACGUAGACCCGUAAUCCGGGUUGCGGACAGUGUCUGGUGGGUAGUUUGACUGGGGCGGUCUCCUCCCAAAGAGUAACGGAGGAGCACGAAGGUUGGCUAAUCCUGGUCGGACAUCAGGAGGUUAGUGCAAUGGCAUAAGCCAGCUUGACUGCGAGCGUGACGGCGCGAGCAGGUGCGAAAGCAGGUCAUAGUGAUCCGGUGGUUCUGAAUGGAAGGGCCAUCGCUCAACGGAUAAAAGGUACUCCGGGGAUAACAGGCUGAUACCGCCCAAGAGUUCAUAUCGACGGCGGUGUUUGGCACCUCGAUGUCGGCUCAUCACAUCCUGGGGCUGAAGUAGGUCCCAAGGGUAUGGCUGUUCGCCAUUUAAAGUGGUACGCGAGCUGGGUUUAGAACGUCGUGAGACAGUUCGGUCCCUAUCUGCCGUGGGCGCUGGAGAAUUGAGGGGGGCUGCUCCUAGUACGAGAGGACCGGAGUGGACGCAUCACUGGUGUUCGGGUUGUCAUGCCAAUGGCACUGCCCGGUAGCUAAAUGCGGAAGAGAUAAGUGCUGAAAGCAUCUAAGCACGAAACUUGCCCCGAGAUGAGUUCUCCCUGAGAC
rnacentral:rRNA from 1 species